UCCAUCGUAAGGUGGAAUCUGAAGGAAGUUGGAGGCAAAGCUUCGGUCUGAGGGAUACGAACUGUAUAAAAGGCACAAUCCUGUGGAUGAGUUUGCCAUACAAAACAAAGUCCAAAACUAUUCAAGACAGGAAGUGUAAAUACAGCAGAUAGAUGGAGUGAAAGCAAAUAUU
rfam:Halanaerobium hydrogeniformans chromosome, complete genome.